rnacentral:rRNA from 1 species
GUUUCAGCCGCCGCGGUAAUACGGAGGGUGCAAACGUUGCUCGGAAUCAUUGGGCGUAAAGCGCACGUAGGCGGUCUUAUAAGUCGGAUGUGAAAUCCCUGGGCUUAACCGAGGAAGUGCAUUCGAAACUGCAAGACUUGAGUACAGGAGAGGAUCGCGGAAUUCCCGGUGUAGAGGUGAAAUUCGUAGAUAUCGGGAGGAACACCAGAGGCGAAGGCGGCGAUCUGGACUGAUACUGACGCUGAGGUGCGAAAGCGUGGGGAGCAAACAGGAUUAGAUACCCGUGUAGUCC